CUAUUCCACUAGGGGUGUUCGGCAAUUGCUGAACUGAGACGAUAGAUAUCGGACCCUUCGAACCUGUAAGUUGAGACUUGCGAAGGAAAGUGGCCAGUGUGUGAU
rnacentral:ncRNA from 2 species